UACGUAGGUGGCGAGCGUUGUCCGGAUUUAUUGGGCGUAAAGCGCGCGCAGGCGGUGCGGUAAGUCUGUCGUGAAAUCUCCCGGCUCAACUGGGAGGGUGCGGUGGAGACUGCCGGACUGGAGGCACUCAGAGGCCGGUGGAAUUCCCGGUGUAGUGGUGAAAUGCGUAGAGAUCGGGAGGAACACCAGUGGCGAAGGCGGCCGGCUGGGGGUGACCUGACGCUGAGGCGCGAAAGCGUGGGGAGCGAUCCGG
rnacentral:rRNA from 1 species